rnacentral:lncRNA from 1 species
UUUUCUGUGGAUUUUGUGUCUUAGUAUUUCAAAACCUGUUUCUGUGGCUGCAAACAUUUUAAUUGAUAGAUGUGGAUUUAUAUUUAAAUAGCGAAUGUAUAUUUGUGAAUCUGUGGUGAAUGGUGUAUGAAUGUAUAUCUGUGGUUAUUUGUAUGUUCAUCUGGUUGUGUUUGUUGUAUCAUUGAACUCUUGUACUUGUGCGACGACGUGCAAAUACAGGGGAGACUCU